AAGAAUUUGCCCCGUCCUCUCGAGGAUGGGUCCUCUUCUAAACCGUGUAUACAUACCUUUGUUGCUUUGGCGGGCCGCCGUCUCGGCGUUGGCUUCGGCUGACUGUGCCCGCCAGAGGACCUAAACUCUGUUUGUCUAUACUGUCUGAGUACUAUAUAAUAGUUA
rnacentral:misc_RNA from 1 species